rnacentral:lncRNA from 1 species
GUUUAAUGGAGAUUUGAGCAGUGAGGCCUCAGCUUCGGGUCCAGCUGCCAGGCCCAUUUCCUCUGCUCUGAAUCAUGGACACUGAGAAUCCUCUGGAAAGUCCAGAAAGACUGUCUCUUCUGUAAGAUGCCUUUAGUCACUGUGUUUCGUCACAGUAAUAGAAAAGCUCCUAAGGAAGGAAGUUAUGUCACAGAAACAAACAAGCCUACUAUUCUCAAUCACAUGAAACUACAAGAUUAGCGUUGGUUGUCGAUCUAAUUGGAUCUGGGUCCAAGUAGAAGAUGCAGCCUGUGUGGUCUGUGAGAGUUUCCCCGAAAGGAUUCUGAGAGGGGGAUGGUCCCCCAGUGUGGGUGGUGGUACCUUCUGCUCCGAGCCAGAUAUAAAGAGGUCUAAAGGAGGAGCAGUGCUAUUUUGCCUGCCGGAUUUUACUCCUUGCUGGUGAGCUCAUACACUCUGACGUGGCCACUGUUGCCAUCCUUCACUGACAUCGGAACCCAGCCUUGUGACAUGAACUAAAGACCAGCAGCUCUCCAGAAUCACCCAGGCCUUCAACAACAUGCUGGAACUGCUGAGGUGCACAGCCUUGUGCUCUGAGUUCCCAGCCCUUGCAGGGGGCAGACAGCCAUUGUGGAACUACCCGUCCUUACUGUAAUAAGGCCCCCGUGUGGCAUGUAGCCCUCCCAAACAAGCAAAAUUCAGGAAGUAAGGAAAUAAAAUAAAAUAGGUCUGAGGUUCGUAAUGUAUCUGUGGCUUUAGCAGUGGACAAUUGGUU